GCCUCUCAGGGCCACCGUAGUUUUUGAUCUUGUUUUGUAGAUUCUGUAUAAUUAUUUUUAAAUUGUGAAACUUUUCCCCCACACAGUCUUUUAUUAAAUGAUUCAAUCUAUCCAUAGUAUGUCUUCAUGAAAGACUGACCUGCUGCUAAUAAACCCAUACAGCUGUGAGAUGUUUGAUCAGGUCGACCAGCGGGUUGAAACGAUUCGCAAAAGAUUCAGAUUUUGUGGAAACAGAGUUUUAGACAGUUCAGUGCCUGAGAUGCAAGUGGGAGUUAUUCAGUUAUGUGCUUCCUGUCUCAUAAUGAAUCACUCGAAAAUAACUCAUCUUUAUCUCAUCAAAUAUGUAUGCAUCCUGAGUUUGGCUAGAGCUGCAUUCAAUUUCAUUUUAACAGUUUGAGGUAUUAUUGCAAAAGCAAGGGUAUGAGGUGAGAGGAAGUUCAGGGAGGAUGUGUGGAGAAGAAAUACUUUUUUGGCAGUUAAUGGUCUCUGAGGAAUACUAUGCAAGGAGAUCAUUACAUUAAGUGAGACAUGGACAAUAAAUACAGAAUUACUCCAAGUUGUUAGCAGAACUGCAUGAAAGAAACUUACUUUGUUGAUCUCCCCACAGACUCCAAUUACCUGCGAAGAGAUAAAAGAGUCGGAAAAACCAAAUUAGGUUUGGGCCACAAAUUAAACACACAAGCAGUCAACAAAACCAGGGUAAACAAACGAGGAGGAUCGUUAGCCCUCAGAAAUAAUUGUUUUAUGAUGUCCAUAGUAUCCACACAGUUAUGCACCUGCUCCCAGUGUCACCACUGCCAGACAGGCGGACAGGCGUGGGAGUGUGUCUGACACCCCCCGUAUGUCAUCUUACAUUCAUCACGGAUCUAUCACCUCUUCAUUUCAACCUCCUGUCUACGCCUCUUCUCAGUAAGCUGAGGAGCCAGAGGAGAGGGAGUGGGGAGAGGAAACACAGGAGGCAUAAAAAGGGCACAGCAGGAUCGGGCGCAGGAGGAGGUAAAUGCAGAAGAGGAGGCUGGCGGCACUCACAGCACUGUGUGGAUGGUGCAUGUAGUGGUCGCUCCUGCUCUUCCUGAUAGGCGUACUGAGGCAAAGAAAAGCGGCAACAACAGACGAAUAAGGAAACAAUACAAAGCAGAAAAAGUUGUGGUAAUACAGUAAAGAGUAUUCAGCAGAAUAAAAUUCUUACAUCUUGAUCUCUCAUGGCAUUAAGUUGUUCAAGUUUCUUCGCCCAGUAUCUGGCCUCUUCCUCUGGGAUGUCUGCAGAAACAGAAACACUUGAGAUUCUCCACUUGGCACGUGAAAU